ACUGGCGGCGUGCUUAACACAUGCAAGUCGAACGCGAAAGGGACUUCGGUCCUGAGUAAAGUGGCGCACGGGUGAGUAACGCGUAGAUAACCUGUCUUCAUGUCUGGAAUAAUACGCCGAAAGGGGUACUAAUACCGGAUAUUCUUGCUUUUCAUAAGUUAUGCAAGCAAAGGUGGCCUCUGCAUAUGCUACUGCAUGAAGAGGGGUCUGCGUACCAUUAGCUAGUAGGUGGGGUAAUGGCCUACCUAGGCGACGAUGGUUAGCGGGUCUGAGAGGAUGAUCCGCCACACUGGCACUGGAACACGGGCCAGACUCCUACGGGAGGCAGCAGUGAGGAAUAUUGCGCAAUGGGGGAAACCCUGACGCAGCGACGCCGCGUGAGUGAGGAAGGCCUUCGGGUCGUAAAGCUCUGUCAAGAGGAAAGAAGUGUACAAUGGCUAAUACCUGUUGUAUUUGACGGUACCUCUAAAGGAAGCACCGGCUAACUCCGUGCCAGCAGCCGC
rnacentral:rRNA from 1 species